rnacentral:rRNA from 1 species
UACGGAGGGUGCAAGCGUUAUCCGGAUUCACUGGGCGUAAAGGGUUUGUAGGUGGCCUGCUAAGUCAGACGUGAAAUCCCUCAGCUUAACUGGGGAACUGCGUCUGAUACUGGCGGGCUUGAGGACAGGAGAGGAACGCGGAAUUCCAGGUGUAGCGGUGAAAUGCGUAGAUAUCUGGAGGAACACCGGUGGCGAAGGCGGCGUUCUGGACUGCAACUGACACUGAGGAACGAAAGCCAGGGGAGCAAACGGG